rnacentral:rRNA from 1 species
AAGCGCUCAUGACCAGACUUGGGCUUGGUUGAUCAUCCAGGGUUCUCCCUGGUGCACUCUUCCAGCCCAGGCCAGCAUCGGUUCGUCCAGGGGGAUAAAAGCUCUGGGAAUGUAGCUCUCUUCGGGGAGUGUUAUAGCCCACUGUAGAAUACUCCUGGCGCGGACCGAGGACCGCGCCUUGUGCAAGGAUGCUGGCGUAAUGGUCGUCAG